rnacentral:rRNA from 1 species
CCUACGGGUGGCAGCAGUGAGGAAUAUUGGUCAAUGGCCGCAAGGCUGAACCAGCCAAGUCGCGUGAGGGAAGACGGCCCUAUGGGUUGUAAACUUCUUUUAUGCGGGGGUAAAGGCGUCCACGUGUGGCUGUCUGAAGGUACCGUAUGAAUAAGGACCGGCUAACUCCGUGCCAGCAGCCGCGGUAAUACGGAGGGUCCGGGCGUUAUCCGGAUUUAUUGGGUUUAAAGGGUGCGUAGGCCGGCGUUUAAGCUAGCCGUGAAAUUUUGGGGCUCAACCUUGGUAGUGCCUCUGAUACUGGUGGCCUUGAGUGCGCGUGAGGCAGGCGGAAUGCGCGGUGUAGCGGUGAAAUGCUUAGAUAUCACGAAGAACUCCGAUUGCGAAGGCAGCCUACC